rnacentral:rRNA from 1 species
GAUGAACGCUGGCGGCGUGCCUAAUACAUGCAAGUCGAGCGAACGGACGAGAAGCUUGCUUUUCUGAUGUUAGCGGCGGACGGGUGAGUAACACGUGGAUAACCUACCUAUAAGACUGGGAUAACUUCGGGAAACCGGAGCUAAUACCGGAUAAUAUUUUGAACCGCAUGGUUCAAAAGUGAAAGACGGUCUUGCUGUCACUUAUAGAUGGAUCCGCGCUGCAUUAGCUAGUUGGUAAGGUAACGGCUUACCAAGGCAACGAUGCAUAGCCGACCUGAGAGGGUGAUCGGCCACACUGGAACUGAGACACGGUCCAGACUCCUACGGGAGGCAGCAGUAGGGAAUCUUCCGCAAUGGGCGAAAGCCUGACGGAGCAACGCCGCGUGAGUGAUGAAGGUCUUCGGAUCGUAAAACUCUGUUAUUAGGGAAGAACAUAUGUGUAAGUAACUGUGCACAUCUUGACGGUACCUAAUCAGAAAGCCACGGCUAACUACGUGCCAGCAGCCGCGGUAAUACGUANGUGGCAAGCGUUAUCCGGAAUUAUUGGGCGUAAAGCGCGCGUAGCGGUUUUUUAAGUCUGAUGUGAAAGCCCACGGCUCAACCGUGGAGGGUCAUUGGAAACUGGAAAACUUGAGUGCAGAAGAGGAAAGUGGAAUUCCAUGUGUAGCGGUGAAAUGCGCAAAGAUAUGGAGGAACACCCGUGGGCGAAGGCGACUUUCUGGUCUGUAACUGACGCUGAUGGGCGAAAGCGUGGGGAUCAAACAGGAUUUAAUACCCUGGGAGUCCCCGCCCGAAACGAAUGAGUGCUAAGUGUUUGGGGGCUUCCCCGCCCUCGGGGCUGCAGCUAACCAAUUAACCACUCCGCCGGGGGAGUACGACCGCAGGGUGAAAACUCAAAGAAAUUGCCGGGGACCCGCACAAGCGGUGGAGCAUGUGGUUUAAUUCGAAGCAACGCGAAGAACCUUACCAAAUCUUGACAUCCUUUGACAACUCUAGAGAUAGAGCCUUCCCCUUCGGGGGACAAAGUGACAGGUGGUGCAUGGUUGUCGUCAGCUCGUGUCGUGAGAUGUUGGGUUAAGUCCCGCAACGAGCGCAACCCUUAAGCUUAGUUGCCAUCAUUAAGUUGGGCACUCUAAGUUGACUGCCGGUGACAAACCGGAGGAAGGUGGGGAUGACGUCAAAUCAUCAUGCCCCUUAUGAUUUGGGCUACACACGUGCUACAAUGGACAAUACAAAGGGCAGCGAAACCGCGAGGUCAAGCAAAUCCCAUAAAGUUGUUCUCAGUUCGGAUUGUAGUCUGCAACUCGACUACAUGAAGCUGGAAUCGCUAGUAAUCGUAGAUCAGCAUGCUACGGUGAAUACGUUCCCGGGUCU